rnacentral:rRNA from 1 species
AGAGUUUGAUCCUGGCUCAGGAUGAACGCUAGCGACAGGCUUAACACAUGCAAGUCGAGGGGCAGCAUGGUCAGUAGCAAUACCGACUGAUGGCGACCGGCGCACGGGUGAGUAACGCGUAUGCAACCUGCCCUGUACAGGGGGAUAGCCCAUGGAAACGUGGAUUAAUAUCCCAUAGUAAUCAUGAUAGGCAUCUAUUUUGAUUUAAAUCUUCGGAGGUACAGGAUGGGCAUGCGUCCUAUUAGAUAGUUGGCGGGGUAACGGCCCACCAAGUCCUUGAUAGGUAGGGGUUCUGAGAGGAAGGUCCCCCACACUGGUACUGAGACACGGACCAGACUCCUACGGGAGGCAGCAGUGAGGAAUAUUGGUCAAUGGACGCAAGUCUGAACCAGCCAUGCCGCGUGCAGGAUGACGGCUCUAUGAGUUGUAAACUGCUUUUGUACGAGGGUAAACGCAGAUACGUGUAUCUGUCUGAAAGUAUCGUACGAAUAAGGAUCGGCUAACUCCGUGCCAGCAGCCGCGGUAAUACGGAGGAUUCAAGCGUUAUCCGGAUUUAUUGGGUUUAAAGGGUGCGUAGGCGGUUUGAUAAGUUAGAGGUGAAAUUUCGGGGCUCAACCCUGAACGUGCCUCUAAUACUGUUGAGCUAGAGAGUAGUUGCGGUAGGCGGAAUGUAUGGUGUAGCGGUGAAAUGCUUAGAGAUCAUACAGAACACCGAUUGCGAAGGCAGCUUACCAAACUAUAUCUGACGUUGAGGCACGAAAGCGUGGGGAGCAAACAGGAUUAGAUACCCUGGUAGUCCACGCAGUAAACGAUGAUAACUCGUUGUCGGCGAUACACAGUCGGUGACUAAGCGAAAGCGAUAAGUUAUCCACCUGGGGAGUACGUUCGCAAGAAUGAAACUCAAAGGAAUUGACGGGGGCCCGCACAAGCGGAGGAACAUGUG